rnacentral:rRNA from 1 species
CCCUUAGAUGUUCUGGGCUGCACGCGUGUUACAAUCGGGAGUACAACAAGAUUGCAAAUCCUAGUGGAUGAGUGGUUCUUCGAAAUUUUCUGAAGACUGGGAUAGUUGAUUGAAAUUAUUCAACUCGAACGAGGAAUUCCUUGUAAUUGUAAUUCAUUAUAUUGUAAUGAAUACGUCCCUACCCUUUGUACACACCGCCCGUCGCUCCUACCGAUUGAACGAUCCGGUGAAUUAUUUGGAGUAGCUCUGGAAGUUGCAGAACUUCCUAUGUCACGAAAUUUUGUAAACCUUAUCGUUUAGAGGAAGGAAAAGUCGUAACA